AGGAUUAACGCUGGCGGCGUGCCUAACACAUGCAAGUCGAACGAGGUAGCAAUACCUAGUGGCAGACGGGUGAGUAACACGUGGUCAACCUACCUUCGAGUGGGGGAUAACUAGCCGAAAGGUUAGCUAAUACCGCAUGAAACGUACUGGGGCAUCCCGGAACGUUAAAAGGAGCAAUCCGCUUGAAGACGGGACCGCGUCCGAUUAGCUAGUUGGUGGGGUAAUGGCCUACCAAGGCUCCGAUCGGUAGCUGGUUUGAGAGAGCGACCAGCCACACUGGGACUGAGAAACGGCCCAGACUCCUACGGGAGGCAGCAGUGAGGAAUUUCCGCAAUGGGCGAAAGCCUGACGGAGCGACGCCGCGUGUGGGAAGAAGGCCUUCGGGUCGUAAACCACUGUCGAAGGGGACUAUACUGAAGGUACCCUUGGAGGAAGCCCGGCUAACUACGUGCCAGCGCCGC
rnacentral:rRNA from 1 species